CUCUCUCUUAGGAGAUCUCUGUGUACCUGAGACCUGCUAAAGUGCGAAUAGAACGUGUAUUCACCCCUGAUGCUCGUCCAGUCUCCUGUGAAUAUUUACUGAAUGUCAAAGGAAAAGAGCAAUGUUCCCUGAAGCCAUGGCCUCAGAGGAUGUGAACUCUCUAAACUGUCAUGCUUAAGAUGCCUUCACAGCUUCUGCAAACACUGCAGUGAAUCCUUCUUCAGCAUCUGCAGAAUUAUGACUUAAUCCUUUGCUGACUGUUGGUAAUAAUAAUGAGACACAGUGAUGCGGCUGUAAAUAGUAAGCUAGAAGCUGUGCUUUUUUUUUUUUCAGCUGACCUAGGGCAUAUUUGAAGCUGUGAAUUCUCAGAGUAAAAAUGAAGCUCUGCAAAGUGGUUGUCUCUUUCCAUAAUACAACAUUUAUUUUGCCAAGUUGCUUACCUUCUGGUUCAGAUCUGGUCCACAAGCUGUCCAGUUUACACAUUGAGCUCAAGACUGAAGUCUUUUUUUUUUGAUUGAAGUGGCUAAUUUUCUGAGACAAAACUCAAGGCAAAAUUGGACUGAGGAGCUCAUUCUGAAGUGUGCUUUCUCCAGGUAGUAUGAUUGAGGGCUACUCUUUCUUCUUGGUUGAAGCAUGCAUGUUGUCUGCUGGUCCCAGCAAUCUCCAGGUCCAUACCACUGCCAGUGAAUAAGAGUGAAACUUCCCCUGAAAUCAUUCAAAGUCUAAGAUUUGCUCCACUUGAUACUUUGAUACUCCUCUUAAUUUGUGGAUGCUACUGGGUGGGGGGUGGGACAGGGCAGCGUUCCAUUUGCUGUUGAUCAAAUCAAUCAAUUUAGCAAUGAAAAGGCUGUAAAUAGUUGUGGCACAGCUUGGCAGAUGGUCAGACAGUCCAGAUGCAUUCUCCACAAAACCAGGCCCACUCACACAUAGAGAUGAGUGAUUCUGUCUGCUCUUGUAGGCAUUUUUGAAUUUGUCCAUCUGGAUUACAGGGAGGGUCUGAACCUACUGGUGUUCUGCAAGUAAGAUGCUAGUUGAGGAAAACUGUGGAAUAGAUUCAGUGCCUGAAUUUGGAGAUGGAAACUAAAGUUAAAAAAGAAUGGGGAUGUAGAGCCAUGGAUGUUAUUGCUGUAAGCAAGCUGCUAAUCAGAGAAUGGUUUGGAGAAAAUUAACACUGAGGAUUCUGAUUGUUCUAGGAUCUGAUUCAUGCUCUUAGGUGAGAGGUGAGUUUGUACUGGAAAGAGUUUGAGCUCUAUUCCAAGUUUGACUGUGAAGUGAUCCCUUUGGCCAGAGAUGGCAUUAUCUGAGAUGUUAUACUUCAGGAAAAGAAGCCAUGGUAGAAGCUGGCCAGUCUGUGGGGCACAGGGAAGCUUUCUUAAGGAGAUGAAGUGAACAGCCUUAGUGAAUAGGUCCAUAAACACCAGGAUAGCCAGGGUGACAGGUCCAUUAUGCAAUCCAUAGGUACAAACUGCUAAGGCCAGGGAGGAAAGGUCAGGAAUUGCAACAGAUGCUGUGGUUUUGCAGAGGCCUUUUGGUAUGAGCACAGAUUUCACAGGCUUGAACAUAGCUACAUAUGCCUGUAUUGUGGACCACCAAUAGAUUCAGGUAGCUAGAAGCUGAGUCUUCUCACAAACCCCAUGUCUGGCAUGGGUGGGAGUUUGUAUAGGUGCUACAUCUGAAACUGCUAAACAGUGUGCUUGUCAAUGAGCUGUUUCCUGUGGGGGGAAGAAAGAUUAACAGCAAGUAAUUCCUACAACUCCUAGCGUGCUAAGUAGCUGCUGACUAGAACCUUCAUUAUUCUAAGAACAGUGGAUUGAUGCAGCUUUCUCACAAAUUUGUAAGGAAGAAAUUUUCCAAUUUAAGUUUCAAAGCUUUGGUAAUUUUUAUAAUAAUAAAGUUGGGCUGAG
ensembl:lncRNA